AGCUUUGCACAGUGGCAGUAUCGUAGCCAAUGAGGUUUAUCCGAGGCGCGAUUAUUGCUCAUUGAAAACAGAAAAUCUGUUGCUUUCCUAUACACUAAUAAUGAAGCAGCAGAAAGUGUAAUUAAGAAAACAAUACCAUUUACAAUUG
rfam:Canis lupus familiaris chromosome 5, whole genome shotgun sequence.